CGGAAACCGGAAGCUGUCAGCCAUGCUAUUCAUAGCACCUCUGUGCUGUCCAUGGUGACACCUCGGAAGCUUUGUGUUCUGAGAUCCAAGAAGCAUGAAGUAAAAUGUUCAAUACAAAGAUCAGAGAACUCCACGCAUGUGAGCUACCGUGUCAAGAGGCUUGUCAAGUAUUGACAAAAGACUCAGAUGGAUGACUGGAGUUUUUCAGCACCGGUGACUUUAUCAAACAACCCAGAGAAUCAAAGCACAGGAAGAUAACAAUCACAGAAUGCUUCAGCCCGAGCAAAUACCAGAUGUCUCCUGAGCAAACACUAGAUGUCUCCACCGCCUGACCUCUUUGCCUCCUGCUAUCACUGCCUGAAUACCCUCGCCCCUCAUUUGUGUUUCACAAAAGGCACUCCCCCUAUCUGAAUGCCUUAUAAGCUGUAACGCUCACCCCAAUAAACGAGACCUUGACAACAGAACCUUGCUUGGUCUCCUUUUCUCCCCCCCCCUUGACCCUCAGGUAGCGCCUCUUCGGAACCCUGAAUAACUAGACCUGCUGGACGGGUCACUCAUAUGUUUAAAUACUUGGUCUCCAGUUGUUGGAACUGUUUGGGAAGGAUUAGGAGGUAUGACUUCGUCGGAGAAGGUAUAUCACUGGGGGUCGGACUGAAGUUUCAAAAGAUUCCCGCCAUCCCCAGUGUUGUCUUUGCCUCUUGCUUCCUAGUAAAGAUGUGAGCCCUCAGCUUCUAAUACAGUGGUUUGCUUCCCUAUCCAAAGUCCAGACAUCCCACUGACUCUGUGCUACAGUUUAACCAAUUACAAGAAACUAGUGAGCACACACACGCAUGCGCGUACACAUACACACACACACACACACACACACACAC